AGUGAACGCUGGCGGUAGGCCUAACACAUGCAAGUCGAACGGCAGCACAGUAAGAGCUUGCUCUUACGGGUGGCGAGUGGCGGACGGGUGAGGAAUACAUCGGAAUCUACUUUUUCGUGGGGGAUAACGUAGGGAAACUUACGCUAAUACCGCAUACGACCUACGGGUGAAAGCAGGGGAUCUUCGGACCUUGCGCGAUUGAAUGAGCCGAUGUCGGAUUAGCUAGUUGGCGGGGUAAAGGCCCACCAAGGCGACGAUCCGUAGCUGGUCUGAGAGGAUGAUCAGCCACACUGGAACUGAGACACGGUCCAGACUCCUGCGGGAGGCAGCAGUGGGGAAUAUUGGACAAUGGGCGCAAGCCUGAUCCAGCCAUACCGCGUGGGUGAAGAAGGCCUUCGGGCUGUAAAGCCCUUUUGUUGGGAAAGAAAAGCAGCAGGUUAAUACCCCGCUGUUCUGACGGUACCCAAAGAAUAAGCACCGGCUAACUUCGUG
rnacentral:rRNA from 1 species